AUGUUCACCAUGGGUAUAAAAGGGAGACCCCUGGGGUGACACAGUUAGUUUUAAGUUUAGUUCAUUAUUUAAUUCAUCAGAUACUCAGUUAUGCUGCGUAUUAGUCUUAUGACGCAGUUUCGUUUUAAAGUGGAGUUCUACUUUCUAUUGUAAGUAGUGUUGGAGAGUGAAGACCUAACUAAAGUACAGGAACUCGCAGAGCCGAGUAAAGCUGAUGUCAUUUGGCGGUUUUGGAGAGGAUCGAUCUUUACUGAGUCUUCGUUCAAGAAAGGGCGACCUGCAUCUGAGAUAUCCUCUGCUAAAGUAGGAAGAAUUGUGCCGUGUCUCUUCUCCAGAGGAAAAGAUUUACAGCAUCUGUGGCAUUUUGCUGCUGGAUGCGAAGUUCAGAACUUGUUUGAAACAAUGUGAGAACCAAAUAACAUGCAUUUCACUGCAGUUGCCAAUGUGGGUUUCCAAUUCAUGUCUCUGGAUGAAUGGUCCAGAACUCUGUCGGCUAGAAAAGCAACUUAACUACAAUGCUACAGUGCCCGUUUACAGGAAGCAGGAU